UGUUCAUGAAGAUUAAAUAACCGCAGUAUUUAAUUGUGCGAAGGUAGCAUAAUAAUUUUUUCUUUAAUUGAGAGGUAGGAUGAAAGGGUUAAUAAGGUGACGACUGUGUUAGCGUAAUAAGGUAAUUUUAUGAAGAGGUUAGAAUGCCUUUUAGUGUUAAAGGGACGACAAGACCCUAGAAGCUUUGAGAAUUAUGAAACUAUUUAACUGGGGCGGUUGUUAUUGAAAACAAUAAAGUUGGUACAUUAUGGAUGGUUUAUAUAAUCUUGGAUUAAACAUGAAGGCAAGCUACUCUAGGGAUAACAGCGUAAUAUAGUUUAAGAGUUCAUAUUGAAGACUUGUUUGCGACCUCGAUGUUGAAUUAAGUAGACUAUCUGGAGCAGAAAAUAGAGAUAGUGAGUUUGUUCAACUCUUAAAGACUUACAUGAUCUGAG
rnacentral:rRNA from 1 species